rnacentral:lncRNA from 1 species
UGCUUUGGCAAUGUUAACAUAUGUUUCCCAUGCCAAUAAAUCCCCUUGAAUUGAAUUGAGAAAGAGAGAGAGAGAGAGAGAGAGAGAGAGGGAGGGGGGGCGCGGUAUGGAUGGCAAUGUGAAGGAAUGAGGAGAGAGGUCACAGGGCGAUGAAAAGGGGAGGGAGAGGAAAGGGGGAGGACAGGAGCAGAGAAAAGAGAGGGGGAUUACAGUAGAAGAGAAGAGUAAGAGUGUGAGGUGGAGGAGAGAGGGCAUGCCUCUACUGGUGUGGCUCCUUAACACACGAUUCCUUCAGCUGACGUAACCCAUCUGCCCUGCACCUUUCAACACAUCUGGACAGUUUUAUUGGAGUGAUCCCCAGCUCUCUGUCUGUCUGUCUGUCUGUCUGUCUGUCUGUCUGUCUGUCUGUCUGUCUGUCUGCCAGUAUGUCUGUCUGUCUGUCUGUCUGUCUGUCUGUCUGCCAGUAUGUCUGUCUGUCUGUCUGCCAGUAUGUCUGUCUGUCUGUCUGUCUGUCUGUCUGUCUGUCUGCCAGUAUGUCUGUCUGUCUGUCUGUCUGUCUGUCUGUCUGUCUGUCUGUCUGUCUGUCUGUCUGCCAGUAUGUCUGUCUGUCUGUCUGUCUGUCUGUCUGUCUGUCUGUCUGUCUGUCUGUCUGCCAGUAUGUCUGUCUGUCUGUCAAUAUGUCAGUCUGCCUGUCAUCUGUCAUCUGUCUGUCUGUCUGUCUGUCUGUCAAUAUGUCCGUCUGUCUGUCUGCUAAUAUGUCUGUCUGUCUGUCUGUCUGCCAGUCUGUCUGUCUGUCUGUCUGUCUGUCUGCCAGUCUGUCUGUCUGUCUGUCUGUCUGUCUGUCUGUCUGUCUGUCUGUCUGCCAGUAUGACUGUCUGUCUGUCAAUAUGUCAGUCUGCCUGUCAUCUGUCUGUCUGUCUGUCUGGCUGUCUGGCUGUCUGUCUGUCUGUCUGCCAAUAUGGCUGUUUGCCUGUCUGUCUAUACGUCUGUCUGGUUAUCAGUCUGUAUGCCAGCCUGUCUGUCUGUCUGUCUGUCAAUAUGUCAGUCUGCCUGUCAUCUGUCUGUCUGUCUGUCUGUCUGUCUGUCUGUCUGUCUGUCAAUAUGUCAGUCUGCCUGUCAUCUGUCUGUCUGUCUGUCUGUCUGUCUGUCUGUCUGUCUGUCUGUCUGUCUGUCUGCCUGUCUGCCUGUCUGUCUGUCUGUCUGUCUGUCUGCCUGUCUGCCUGUCUGCCUGUCUGCCUGUCUGUCUGUCUGCCUGUCUGUCUGUCUGUCUGUCUUCAUUUGAAUACACCAACAUGGCCAGACGAGCCUCAUUAACAUCUCAAAUGGCACCCUAUUCCCUGUAUAGUGCACUACUGUUGACCAGCAUGGCACCCUAUUCCCUGUAUAGUGCACUACUGUUGACCAGCAUGGCACCCUAUUCCCUGUAUAGUGCACUACUGUUGACCAGCAUGGCACCCUAUUCCCUGUAUAGUGCACUACUGUUGACCAGCAUGGCACCCUAUUCCCUGUAUAGUGCACUACUGUUGACCAGCAUGGCACCCUAUUCCC